UACGGAGGGUGCAAACGUUGCUCGGAAUCAUUGGGCGUAAAGCGCACGUAGGCGGUCUCGAAAGUCAGAUGUGAAAUCCCUCGGCUUAACCAAGGAAGUGCAUUUGAAACUUCGAGACUUGAAUACUGGAGAGGGUCGCAGAAUUCUCGGUGUAGAGGUGGAAUGCGUAGAGAUCGGGAGGAACAUCGGUGGCGAAGGCGGCCAGCUGGGCCGUUGCUGACGCUGAGGCGCGAAAGCGUGGGGAGCAAACAGG
rnacentral:rRNA from 1 species